CAGAAGUGAGGUGCUUCUAGAGGCUCAAGAAAACAAACCAAUUGCUUUCAUUCUUCUCUACAUUCACUUGCCAAGAAAAAUUCUGAACUGGCUUUCAGACUUUAGUAGAUUAGAUUUAUGGUAAUUAGAAAUAUAUUCCUAUGUAGAUUGUUUGGUUAAAAGAUUUUAUGCUGAUAUUUAGUGAAUUUUAAGGUUAUUUAAAGUAAUCCACCAAGUUUUUUCCAGAACCUCAACUAAACCCAAUCUUUGGAGAAACAAGUAUCGGAGCAAUACUAGUAUCUGCCUUCCAAGAUUGUUACAAGAUUUGAAGCAGGAGACUUGGCACAGUAUCUGGCCCAGAGGAAGCCCUCCAUAAAUGUCACCAGUGAUGCUAAUGAUGUCUCCUUAAAACUGGCAAUGACAAACAGGACUGUUUGGAGUCAGCAUCCCUCAUUCGUCACUCAGCACAACUUGUCGUAAGAUGAACAAAGAUAAUGGGAAGCAGAGAUCGAUCACUGCUUUGCUGCACCAUGUCUGAAGUGAUAUUGAGAAACGGCAACUGACAGCUCUGGGGGGCUGAUGUGUGAUUUUUAGGACACAGGAGAAAAGAGUGGUCCCAGACAAAGUCCUGGGAUGAAUAGGACAGUUUUGGAUUAUGACUGCUUACCUCCCACCCACGCAGUUCAAAUCAGCUGGCAAGUGAGAAACAGGUAAGAUGGCCAGUGAGGUCCUGGGAAUGCGAGAGGCAGAAAGCUGCUUUUCUGUCUUAGGUGCUGGGAUUGCAAUAUGAAGAGCUUAUUCACUGCUCAAAUGAAUAGGGAUCAAUGACGAUUACGAACAUCUGUAUGCGGGCAAUUAAAUUCAGAAAUUGAUUUCUUAUGCUUUUAUACUAGGCUAAAUAUGAAAAACAUAUUUCUUUGAAAUGUAUCCAAGUCUCUUCCUCGUAUCUUCACCCUAAAACUUUCAUCACCC